UGUGAUACUUUUGCCGGGAACAGAACAGGAAUGGAGUAUUAGAACUUGUUACUUUUGCAGAGAGGGAUUCUCAAUGUUUUGAAUCUGAUUACCCUGUAAGGUAUUUACCAUCCUGAUUUUACAGAGGUGAUUCUCUUAUCUUUUUCUUUAAUUAAAAUUCUUCUUUUAAGAACCUGA